GUACCAAGAGUGAGUUCAGCGCUGUACAAGACACGGGGGAAAACAAGGGAUCUGGCUGAUGGCCUGAGAAGGCUAAUACUUCCUGCAGUGGACAUGAGAACAUUUCCAAGUGCAUCCAGGGUGCCUAAAUGCCAGAGGUUUCUUAUUUGGCAGACAACUUUCUGUAUCUUCAUAUUUAUUAAUAUGGGACAGCAAUCAAAAUUGAAGAAGAGACACUGGAGAAUGUGGACAAUUUUGAGCAUCUUGGAAGUACCAUCAGCCAAGAUAGUACUAGUUUCAAGGAAGAAAUAAGAAGAAUUGGGAAGGCAAAUGCUGCAUUUGGAAGACUCAAAAAUAUCUGGCAACUCAAAAACAUCUCCCUCAAAACAAAACUGAAUGUGUACAAAGCAACUGUUAUUGCCAUCCCAACAUAUAGUAGUGAGACAUGGCAACUUACCAAGAAAGAUAUGCAAAAGCUGGAUGCAUUUCAUCACAAAUGUCUGAGAAGAUAUUGGGAAUAACAUAUAGAGAUAGGAAGAUGAAUGAAGAAGUCAGAAAAAUUACUGGACAAGGCACCCUCUCACAAAUAAUCUACAAAAGAAGAUAUCAGUGGCUGGGACAUGUGCUGAGAGUGGAAAAAGAAUGCUUACUAAAUACCACCCUUGAAUGGAGGUCAGAAAAUGCAAGAAGAAAGAGAGGAAAACCAUGAAUAACAUGGAAACGAACAGUUCUGAAUGACAUCAAGCACCUCAACAUGAGAUGGGAAGAUUUGGAGAGAAGGGCAGUUGACAGGCAAGGAUGGCAAAUGUGGAUAGCCCAGUGUGCAGCAAAGCACAGGAUAGACUGAGGUCUAAGUCGACUUAAGUCUAUGAAAGUUCUGUAUACCCUUUUAGAUGACCGAUAUUACCAUCUAGUUAAGAUAGUGUCCUGUCAGCUAUUUUGUUAAAAAUUACUUGAAUGCCUAAUUUCAGUUUUUAUUUAGACCUUUACCUUUAAGAUAUUUUUGUACUCCAACAAUAGUUAUUUUUUCCUGUAAUUCCAAAAAUGGCAAACCAUUUCCCGUGUGCGCGCACAUACGAAAGGAAAAAUGUGUUGCUUUGGUGGUAUCUAUACAUGGAAAGUUUGAAUAUUUUUUAAAAAAAAAAAAGAUUGUUCAAAUGUGUAAGUUUUACAUACUCUUCUUAAUCAUGGAUUUGCUUUGGAAAGUGACUAUGUAAAAAGGUAUCUUGGGCUUCUACAUUUAGUGUUUCUUAAUGAUGAUUUACAGAAGAAAUUGACACCGUGUACAAGUAAAAAAUGUUUCUUCUAAUUGCCAGCCCUGCUGACUCGCAUGGGAUCUGAGAAUUAAGGUGGGUUCUUUAUUUGUCAUG